GUGCCAGGAGCCGCGGUAAUACGAAGGGGGCUAGCGUUGUUCGGAAUUACUGGGCGUAGAGCGCACGUAGGCGGAUAUUUAAGUCAGGGGUGAAAUCCCGGGGCUCAACCCCGGAACUGCCUUUGAUACUGGCUAUCUUGAGUCCGGAAGAGGUGAGUGGAAUUGCGAGUGUAGAGGUGAAAUUCGUAGAUAUUCGGAGGAACACCAGUGGCGAAGGCGGCUCACUGGCUCGAUACUGACGCUGAGGUGCGAAAGUGUGGGGAGCAAACAGGAUUAGAAACCCGGGUAGUCC
rnacentral:rRNA from 1 species